GCGCCUGUAGCCUAAUUGGUAAAGGCAGCACUCUAGUAUGUGUCUCAGCAUAGCUGAGGUCGUGAGUUUAACUCUCACCAGACACA
rfam:Puccinia triticina 1-1 BBBD Race 1 supercont2.479, whole genome shotgun sequence.